GGCCGCAUGGCGCAAUGGUAGCGCGUCAGAUUCCAGUUUAGAUGGGAAUUCCUGAAGGUAUGAUGGGUCCGGUAGAUAUGACUGGGCUUCACAUGUUAACGCUGAUAGGCUCUCUGUUCGAAUCAGGGUGUGGUCA